rnacentral:rRNA from 1 species
AAUGAACGCUGGCGGCGUGCUUAACACAUGCAAGUCGAACGAGAAAGGGAUUGCUUGCAGUCCCGAGUAGAGUGGCGCACGGGUGAGUAACACGUAGAUAAUCUGCCUUCAAGCCUGGAAUAACUAUUCGAAAGGGUAGCUAAUACCGGAUAAAGUCGGUUCACACAAGUGGAUUGAUGAAAGAUUGCCUCUUCAUGAAAGCAAUUGUUUGGAGAUGAGUUUGCGUACCAUUAGCUAGUUGGUGGGGUAAAGGCCUACCAAGGCGACGAUGGUUAGCUGGUCUGAGAGGAUGAUCAGCCACACUGGAACUGGAACACGGUCCAGACUCCUACGGGAGGCAGCAGUGGGGAAUAUUGCACAAUGGGGGAAACCCUGAUGCAGCCAUGCCGCGUGUGUGAAGAAGGCCUGGUG